AUUGAACGCUGGCGGCAGGCCUAACCCAUGCAAGUCGAGCGAGCGGCGGACGGGUGAGUAAUGUAUGGGGACUGCCCGAUAGAGGGGGAUAACUACUGGAAACGGUAGCUAAUACCGCAUACUAUCGGAUAACCCAGAUGGGAUUAGCUAGUAGGUGAGGUAAUGGCUCACCUAGGCGACGAUCCCUAGCUGGUCUGAGAGGAUGACCAGCCACACUGGACCUGAGACACGGCCCAGACUCCUACGGAGUCAGCAGUGGGGAAUAUUGCACAAUGGGCGCAAGCCUGAUGCAGCCAUGCCGCGUGUAUGAAGAAGGCCCUAGGGUUGUAAAGUACUUUCAGUCGGGAGGCGUUACCGGCAGAAGAAGCACCGGCUAACUCCGUGCCAGCAGCCGCGGUAAUUC
rnacentral:rRNA from 1 species